GCAAGAGGCCCGCUUCUUUGUGCACAUGGGCAAAUACCUCUGUAGGAUAAAUUCCUAGAAGUGGGAUUACUGGGUCAAAGGCGAUGUAUCUGUUGUUUCGAUAAAUGAUGCCAAAUUACUCUCCGGAAUUGUGCCAAUUUGCGGUUUUACCAACAAUCCAUGCCACUCAGGAAUUUAAACUGUGCGAUUUAGGGGUUAGUUCAGUAGCAGGAUCAGAAACUGAAAAAAUGCACAAAGAGAAGCGAUGAAGGAGCAGACAUAACGAGUAAUUACAUGUUAUGAAUGAGCAAAGGUAUAAAGAUGAAAAAAGGAUGUACCCAGCAGACGGAGAAGUGUUAGGUAGUCGGCUGUAGGGCAGGAACAUAAAAAUCAAGAUAGGAUUUGUGUUACAGUAAAUGCGGGGUAUUGACAGAAUCUUGCUGCUCAGGCUCUAGCAGCUUGGUAAAAUGUAUUAACAGACCCAAAGGAGAAUGUGUUGACUGCAAAGGGGACUGGAUCCUAAAAGAACGGUUAUCAGGUGCUAUCUAAGCACUGCCUAGAGCAGUGAUUCUCAGACUUUACUGAGCAUCAGAGUCACCCGGAAGUCUUGUUAAAACACAGAGUGCUGGGCCCCACCCCAGAGUUUCUGACUCAGUAGGUAUGCGGUGAGGCCCCCAAAUUUGCAUUUCUGACAAGUUCCCAGGUGAUGUCGAUGCUGCUAUCGGGAACACACAUUGAACACCGCUGGUCUACAGCCAGCAGCGUUCAGAUGAUCUGGUGAGUUGGUGAGAGGAUAGAAUAGGAUGGUAGCCUGGACUUGGUGACAACCAUCUUCUCCACCAGGAGUGGCAAAAACUGCUUGGCAAUGAGAAGAAUAUGGAAGAAAGCAGAGAACAGAGAUUAAGAGAGCAAGACUAUUUUCUGAGGAUAGCAUUUGAACGUGUGGAUCCAACCAUGCCUCACUGGUCCCAUUCCUGGACUUUGUGAUUCUGUAAACUAAUAAGUGCCCUUUUCUGAUAAA